UACGUAGGGUGCGAGCGUUAAUCGGAAUUACUGGGCGUAAAGCGUGCGUAGGCGGUUCGUUAAGUUCGUUGUGAAAGCCCCGGGCUCAACCUGGGAAUGGCAAUGGAAACUGGCGGGCUGGAGUAUGGCAGAGGGGGGUGGAAUUCCGCGUGUAGCAGUGAAAUGCGUAGAGAUGCGGAGGAACACCGGAUGGCGAAGGCAGCCCCCCUGGGCCAAUACUGACGCUCAGGCACGAAAGCGUGGGGAGCAAACAGG
rnacentral:rRNA from 1 species